AAGAUUAUACUUUCUAGGAUCAUUUCUAUAGUUUCUGAUUUGAGAAAUGUGUUUCUGAAGUGUAUGGUCUCGCAAACCACAAUGAUGAGUUGUGGUAUUCCCGUGAGAGCAUGAAGCUGAUGGAGAAUAAUGAUUUAUCUCAUAUGUUUUCUGUCAUUGAGGAUUGUUUUUUGCUUACUAGUGAAGCAAUAAAGGAGGGAAUAUGUUCAGAGUGGU
ensembl:snoRNA U3 Small nucleolar RNA U3